CCCUCGCCGGCCUUCGCACUCGCUCGCUCACUCGCUUGCCCAACCGCACUCACUCGCUCGUGCUCUCUCGCACGCUUCUCGCCGCUCGUCGGCCUUCCCCUUCUCACCUGCCUCCCCUCUCCCCGCCGCUCGCCGGCCUCACGCUCCCCUCUCCCCAUCGCUGGCCUCACCCUCCCCUCUCCCCAUCGCUGACCUUACCCUCCCUCUCCCUCUCCCUCUUCCUUUCCACCACCCCGCCUCCACUCACACCCCGGAGGUAAAAAAAUCAAUCUUUUGAGCCGGCGACGAGCUUCUACUCUGGAAUAUGCAAUAGAGGCAUGGAUGUGGAGCGCCAGCGCUGGAUCUGGGCGAGGGAGGCAUGGAUGUGGAGCGGCACCCGAGCGGUGGAUCGGGAGCAGCGCCGGAGCAGUGGAGCGGCGGAUCUGGAGCAGAGUCUUCGUCCUCACGGUGCACACGUCGUCGUCUUCGUCAGACGUCCCCACCUCGCUGACGCAUUCGAUCCGCGCAUGCUGUGUUCUCUCGUAAAACAAUCGUCAGUAGUACUUGCUCAGAAUGAAUCGUUGCUGUUGGGUGGUAAAUCUACCCGUAUGUUGGGUAAUAGCCUUAUCGGUAGCUGCAACUGUAACACUGGUUGCUCUCUGCUGCUUCAUCGUUUACUGUUGUCGGCUUAGAAAAAGGCACACAAAAGGUAAAGUGAAGUUACAGGAAAAAAGUACUCACCAGUUUCAAGGAGAUGAACUUGUUUGGGAAGUGGAAGCAGAGUUGUCUGAAUUUUCAGUAUGUGAGUUUCAUCAGAUAUUAGAGGCUACAAGUAACUUUUCUGAGGAAAACAAAAUUGGCGAAGGUGGAUUUGGCCCGGUUUAUAAAUGAUGAUCGACGGGUGCAUGUCAUAGAGAGAGACCUGACAGAGCCUGAUAGAAUUGUGGGUGAAUUGUUACAACCUGGAGGUUACUUGAAAUUGAUAGAAUUGGGUCUGCAGGGAGAAUAACCCCCAGCCUCUGCAUCAGAAUGUUGCGUGGGAGGCCGAGGCGGGCAGGCGCUGCUGGUGGCGGGACGAGCAACUGGAGCAGGAGGUCAUCGCCAAGCUCGGCUGGGGCCGCCUUGGCGACGCCUAUGCCAGGACCUUCUACCUCGGGAAAAGAAGCAAUUAUCCAUCCUGUGAGUGAGAUCAUCAACACACACACUAUGUCAACAGAGCAUGUUUGCAAUUGGACAAAUGGUGCAUAACAAUGAUCAUCAUCUCUAAAUUUGACAAUUGGACAACAUCAGCAGGAGGACAUCGACAACAUCAUUUUCUCAUGCAUUACAGGUUUCCCAAUUGCAAAGCUGCUGCCUUGUGACCAUGAGGUCAUGGGCUCAAGUCCUGGAAACAGCCUCUUACAGAAAUGUAGGGAAAGGCUGCGUACUAUAGACCCAAAGUGGUCGGACCCUUCCCUGGACCCUGCGCAAGCGGGAGCUACAUGCACCAGGUUGCCCUUUAUUACAGGUUUCCCAAUUGAUCAUUACACUCCAGUAAUUUCUUCUGAUGCCAAUUGUGAGGGUGAUGAUCUUGUCUGAUUGCCAUAGUUAUUGGUCUUAACAAAUUCUUCCUGAUUGAAUGUCUCCUGAUCAAUUUUACAGACUAUUGUACCUAAAAGCAUCAACAAAUUCUCCCAAUUCUGCAUUUGGCGAAAACUGAUAAGAAUUGGGAGCAGCGAGGAGUACCUGGCGAGGACCAGGCAGGGGAGCAGCGAGGACCGGGCGGGGGAGCAGCAAGGAUCAGGCUGGUUAGUGCGGUUGAGAGGACCAGGUUGGUGUAGCGAGGACUAGAUUGGGAGGAGAGGUGGGGCGGCUAGGCUGGGGCAGCGGUGAUCAAAUUGGGAGCGGUGGCCACCAGACUGGGCGGAGGAGGAGGAGGAGGAGCAGGCGGAGGAGGAGGAGGAGGUAGAGGGCGGAGGAGGAGGUGGCCGGACUAGCAGCUGGAGGAGGUGGAGGGCGCAGGUGGCCUGGCGGAGGAAGACUACGAGGAGGAGCCUGGCGGAGGAAGACGAUGACUCGUUUUCAAAUCAGGGGUAUUUUUGUACAUUUGCUCGUUUCCACCUGGUCUGAAAAAUCCCCCAACAACAACUAUUUCGGAACAGAGGGAGUAUAAUGCAAGAUAUACCAUACCUGUGAUAUUUUAUCACACUCCUGGUUUUAGCAAGCCAGUAUAAUAAGGGUGAUAACCCAUAACUUGAAUACUGGUAAUCAUCAGCUGUUUGCCGGUUUAUGAACGGGCCUAGGCCAGAUUAAUAAACAUCGGACAGUAGUUUCUUCU